AGUUGGUGGAGUGAUUUGUCUGGUUAAUUCCGUUAACGAACGAGACCGCAGCCUGCUAAAUAGCGACGCGAACCCUCCGUUCGCUGGAGCUUCUUAGAGGGACAACUUGUCUUCAACAAGUGGAAGUUCGCGGCAAUAACAGGU
rnacentral:rRNA from 1 species